rnacentral:tRNA from 1 species
UCGGAGGUCGUCUAAUGGUAGGACAUCACGCUCUGGACGUGAGAAUUGGGGUUCGAGUCCCUGCCUCCGAGCCA